rnacentral:lncRNA from 1 species
AAGAUAUUACAAGUAUGACGCCUUUGUCUUAGACGCAAAAAUGCUAGACAUACAAAGAGUUACAUAAAGUUACACGCUGAUUAUGAUUCUUUUUUUUCUAACUAACCAUUCCUCCCUGAUUUUCAAAGAGGAUGGGGCCCUCAUCCCCUUAAUCUCCAAUCAAAAUCCACCUCUUUGUAAAAUUCAUCUAAAUUAUGUAUGUGUAGCAUUGCUCGUCUUAAACGCCACACUAUGAGGAUGGGGUCGGCCCUGAAGGUGCCAGCGUGGCCGGAGAUGCGGCGUCUAGGUCUUCAACAAUACACAAUGGAGUGUGUCGCCUUUCCGUCGGACGCCAUACAAACCGGUUAGCCGGACGAUUUUUUUUGUUUUUUGUGAAUAAUUUAGUUUGUGAAUUUUUUGCCUCAAUAGAUCAAAUUUGUCAAAUUUGGCGUCCAAAUAUACAGGUCGAUAGAUUACCUCUUCCCUGCAUGUACAGGCAGAUAGCACCGUACGUAUCUCUAUCUCCAACUAUCAAGAUCAGACCAAAAAUCAGGAAAACACACUUUCCAACGUCAAAAAUCGCAGCAAAUCCAACCUACUACAAACCCGUCGUCACCCGCAAUGACCAGACCCGCACCUCGCCGUCAAAGCUGGCGCUGCACACCCUCCAUUCCUCGUCGCCGUCGUCAUGGUCGUCUCCUCCUGCCUGCAGCUGCUGCUUNNNNNNNNNNNNNNNNNNNNNNNNNNNNNNNNNNNNNNNNNNNNNNNNNNNNNNNNNNNNNNNNNNNNNNNNNNNNNNNNNNNNNNNNNNNNNNNNNNNNUAAAUAGACUUGCCGGUAACAAGAUUGAACAAGGUAUGGGGAUACCGACGAACGAAUCUCGGGCAAGUAUCAUACCGGUAGACAAAGGGAAUUGCAUACGGGAUUGAUCGAAUCCUUGACAUCGUGGUUCAUCCGAUGAGAUCAUCGUGGAACAUGUGGGAACUGAUGCGUCUCAAACGUAUCUAUAAUUUUUGAUGGUUUCACGUUGUUAUCUUGUCUUCUUUGUUGUUUUAUGUACCUUUUAUAUCUUUUUUGGGACUAACUUACAAAUUAAGUGCCAAGUGCCACUUCCUGUUUUUUGUGUGUUUUUGACUCUUUUCAGAUCUGAUUUUGGAACGAAGUCCAAACGGAAGAAAAACCCCGAAAUGAUUUUUUCCCGAACGAAAGAAGACCAGGUUUUUUUUGGGCCAAGCGAGGUGGGCUCCAGGGAGCCUGCAAGCCCCCACUCCGCCACCAGGGGGAGGCGGCGGUGGGCAGGCUUGUGGCCUCCCUCGCCGCCCCCUGACCUAGGUCUUUGGCCUAUAAAUUCCCAAAUAUUCCGCAAAAAAUCAUGGGAGCCUCGAAAAUACUUUUCCUCCGCCGCAAACUUCCGUUUCUGCGAGAUCUCAUCUAGAGACCCUUCCCGGCGCCCUGCCGGAGGGGACUUUGGAGUUGGAGGGCUUCUUCAUCAUCAUCAUCACCCCUCUAAUGACUUGUGAGUAGUUCACUUCAGACCCACGGGUCCGUAGUUAGUAGCUAGAUGGCUGCUUCUCUCUCUUGGAUCUUCAAUACAAAGUUCUCCAUGAUCUUCAUGGAGAUCUAUCCGUUGUAAUCUUCUUUGGCGGUGUGUUUGUCGAGAUCCGAUGAAUUGUGGAUUUGUGAUCAGAUUAUCUAUGAUAUAUAUUUGAGUCUUUGUUGAUUUCUUAUAUGCAUGAUUUGAUAUCCUUGUAAGUCUCUCCGAGUAUUGGGUUUUGUUUGGCCAACUAGAUCUAUGAUUCUUGCAAUGGGAGAAGUGCUUGGUUUUCGGUUCUACCAUGUGGUGACCUUUCCCAGUGACAGUAGGGGCAGCAAGGCACACAUCAAGUAGUUGCCAUCAAGGGUAAAAAGAUGGGGUUUUUUUUAUCAUUGGUUUGAGAUUAUCCCUCUACAUCAUGUCAUCUUGCUUAAGGCGUUACUCUGUUCUGAUGGACUUAAUACACUAGAUGCAUGCUGGAUAGCGGUCGACGUGUGAAGUAAUAGUAGUAGAUGCAGAUAGUAUCGGUCUACUUGUUUCGGACGUGAUGCCUAUAGAUAUAAUCAUUGCAUAGAUAUCGUCACGACUUUGCGCAGUUCUAUCAAUUGCUCGACAGUAAUUUCUUCACUCACCGUCUACUUACUUUUAUGAGAGAAGCCACUAGUAAACACUACGGCCCCCGGGUCUAUUCACAUCCAUCGUUUACACCUCCGCUUUUACUUUGCUUUGUUACUUUGUUGCUUUCAGUCCUCACUUGGCAAGCAAUCUAUAAGGGAUUGACAACCCCUUCAUAGCGUUGGGUGCAAGCUUUUGUGUUUGUGCAGGAUCUUGAGAUACUCUUCGGCCGGAUUGAUACCUUGGUUCUCAAGCUAAGGGAAAUACUUACCGUCGCUGUGCUACAUCACCCUUUCCGCUUUGAGGGAACACCAACGCAAGGCUCCAAGGCCACAGGGGAAAUCCUUUGCAUACUUGCCUAGGAAGUCCCUUAAGGCGUAGCCGUAGCUGAAGGAUUCCUGGUGCCGUCGACACAACUAUUUCCUGGCGCCGUUGCAAGGGAUACACAACAAACAUCAAGAAUCAUGUGAUGGACUAGACCCAAACUAUGAACGCAGCAUAUUGAUCGUGUCAUUUUAUUGCUAUUGUUUUCUGCGUGUCAAGUAUUUGUUCCUAUGACCAUGAGAUCAUAUAACUCACUGGCACCGGAGGAAUACCUUGUGUGCAUGAAACCUUGCAACGUAACUGGGUGACUAUAAAGGUGUCCUACAGGUAUCUCCGAAGGUGUCCAUUGAGUUAGUAUGGAUCAAGACUGAGAUUUGUCACUCCGUGUGACGGAGAGGUAUCUCAGGGCCCACUCGGUAAUACGACAUCACAAACAAGCCUUGCAAGUAAUGUGACUAAGUGUAAGUCACGGGAUCUUGUGUUACGGAACGAGUAAAGAGAAUUGCCGGUAACAAGAUUGAAAUAGGUAUGCGGAUACCGACGAUCAAAUCUCGGGCAAGUAACAUACCGAAGGACAAAGGGAAUGACAUACGGGAUUAUAUGAAUCCUUGAGAGUGAGGUUCAACCGAUAAGAUCUUCGGAGAAUAUGUAGGAUCCAAUAUGGGCAUCCAGGUCCCGCUAUUGGAUAUUGAUCGAGGAGUGUCUCGGGUCAUGUAUACAUAGUUCUCGAACCCGCAGGGUCUGCACACUUAAGGUUCGAUGUCGUUUCAGUAUAGUUGGGUUAUAGGUGUUGGUAACCGAAAGUUGUUCGGAGUCCCAUAUGAGAUCCAGGACGUCACGAGGAGCUCCGGAAUGGUCCGGAGGUAAAGAUCGAUAUAUAGCAAGUCCUGUUUUGGUCACCAGAAAAGUUUCGGGCUCAUCGGUAGUGUAACGGGAGUGCCGGGGACCAUCGGGAGGGGUGUCACACCCCAAGGGGUCUCAUGGGCUAUGGGAAGAGAUAAACCAGCCCCUAGUGGGAUGGAAUAAGUUCCCACUAAGGACCAUAAGGUUUGAGAAGGAAAAACACAAGGUGGAAAGAGUUUCCAAGUGGGAAGGUGGAAUCCUACUCCAAGUAGGAUUGGAGUGGGACUCCUCCACUUCCAAUUUCGGCCAGGGGGGGGGGGGGGGGGGNNNNNNNNNNNNNNNNNNNNNNNNNNNNNNNNNNNNNNNNNNNNNNNNNNNNNNNNNNNNNNNNNNNNNNNNNNNNNNNNNNNNNNNNNNNNNNNNNNNNUUGAUCAUAUCAACCUUGGAAACACUUCCAACACGUAUCGUCACCUCGCCUUUAGCUAGUCUCCGUUUAGGCCGUAGCUAUCAUUUCGUGUUACUAAUCACUUAGCAACCGAACCGGUAUCCAAUACCCUCGUGCUACUAGGAGUACUAGUAAAGUACACAUCAACAUCAUGUAUAUCAAAUAUACUUCUUUCGACUUUUGCCAGCCUUCUUAUCUACCAAGUAUCUAGAGUUGCUCCGCCUCAGUGACUGUUCCCCUCAUUACAGAAGCACUUAGUCUCGGGUUUGGGUUUAAUCUUGGGUCUCUUCAUUAGUGCAGCAAUUGUUUUGCCGUUUCACGAAGUAUCCCUUCUAGCCCUUGCCUUUCUUGAAACUUAGUGGUUUUACUAACCAUCAACUAUUGAUGCUCUUUCUUGAUUUCUACUUUCGCAGUGUCAAACAUCGCGAAUCGCUCAAGGAUCAUUGUAUCUAUCCUUGAUAUGUUAUAGUUCAUCACGAAGCUCUCACAGCUUGGUGGCAGUGACUUUGGAGAACCAUCACUAUCUCAUCUGGAAGAUUAACUCCCACUUGAUUCAAGCGAUUGUCGUACUCAGACAAUCUGAGCACACGCUCAAUGAUUGAGCUUUUCUCCUUUACUUUGUGGACAAAGAAUCUUGUCAGAGGUCUUGUACCUCUUAACAAGGGCACAAGCAUGAAAUCACAAUUUCAUCUCUUUAGAACAUCACUUAUGUUCCGCGACGUUUCAAAACGUCUUCGGCGCCUUGCUUCUAAGCCAUUAAGUAUUUUGCACUGAACUAUCGUGUAGUCAUUAGAAACAUGUAUGUCGGAUGUUCACAGCAUCCACAGACGACGCUCGAGGUGCAGCACACCGAGUGGUGCAUUAAGGACAUAAGCCUUCUGCGCAGCAACGAGGACAAUCCUCUGCAAAGUUUGCUACUAUCAACUUUCAACUAAAUUUUCUCUAGGAACAUAUAAAAAUAGUAGAGCUAUAGCGCAAGCUACAUCGUAAUUCUCAAAGACCAUUAGACUUUGUUCAUGACAAUUAGUUCAAUUAAUCAUAUUAGUUAAGAACUCCCACUCAAAAAGUACAUCUCUCUAGUCAUUUGAGUGGUACAUGAUCCAAAUCCACUAUCUCAAGUCCGAUCAUCACGUGAGUCGAUAAUAGUUUCAGUGUUAAGCAUCUCUAUGCUAAUCAUAUCAACUAUAUGAUUCAUGCUCGACCUUUCGGUCUCAUGUGUUCCGAGGCCAUGUCUGCACAUGCUAGGCUCGUCAAGCUUAACCCGAGUGUUCCGCGUGUGCAACUGUUUUGCACCCGUUGUAUGUGAACGUUGAGUCUAUCACACCCGAUCAUCACGUGGUGUCUCGAAACGAAGAACUGUCGGAACGGUGCACAGUCGGGGAGAACACAAUUUCAUCUUGAAAUUUUAGUGAGAGAUCACCUCAUAAUGCUACCGUCGUUCUAAGCAAGAUAAGGUGCAUAAAGGAUUAACAUCACAUGCAAUUCAUAAGUGACAUGAUAUGGCCAUCAUCAUGUGCUUCUUGAUCUCCAUCACCAAAGCACCGGCACGAUCUUCUUGUCACCGGCGUCACACCAUGAUCUCCAUCAACGUGUCGCUAUCGGGGUUGUCGUGCUACUCAUGCUAUUACUACUAAAGCUACGUCCUAGCAAUAUAGUAAACGCAUCUACAAGCACAAAUGUUAGUUUAAAGACAACCCUAUGGCUCCUGCCGGUUGCCGUACCAUCGACGUGCAAGUCGAUAUUAACUAUUACAACAUGAGCAUCUCAUACAUCCAGUAUAUCACAUCACAUCAUUGGCCAUAUCACAUCACAAGCAUACCCUGCAAAAACAAGUUAGACGUCCUCUAAUUGUUGUUGCAUGUUUUACGUGGUGACCAUGGGUAUCUAGUAGGAUCGCAUCUUACUUACACAAACACCACAAUGGAGAUGUAUGAAUUGCUAUUUAACCUCAUCCAAGGACCUCCUCGGUCAAAUCCGAUUCAACUAAAGUUGGAGAAACCGACACUCGCCGGUCAUCUUUGAGCAACAGAGUUACUCGUAGCGAUGAAACCAGUCUCUCGUAAGCGUACGAGUAAUGUCGGUCCGAGCCGCUUCGAUCCAACAAUGCCUCGGAAUCAAGAAAAGACUAAGGAGGGCAGCAAAACGCACAUCACCGCCCACAAAAACUUUUGUGUUCUACUCGAGAAGACAUCUACCCAUGAACCUAGCUCUGAUACCACUGUUGGGGAACGUCGCAUGGGAAACAAAAAAAUUUCUACGCGCACGAAGACCUAUCAUGGUGAUGUCCAUCUACGAGAGGGGAUUUCCGAUCUACGUACCCUUGUAGAUCGCACAGCAGAAGCAUUAAGAAACGCGGUUGAUGUAGUGGAACAUCCUCACGUCCCUCGAUCCGCCCCGCGAACCGUCCCACGAACCGUCCCGCGAACCGUCCCACGAACCGUCCCGCGAUCCGUCCCACGAUCCGUUCCGAUCUAAUGCCGAACGGACGGCACCUCCGCGUUCAGCACACGUACAGCUCGACGAUGAUCUCAGCCUUCUUGAUCCAGCAAGAGAGACGGAGAGGUAGAUGAGUUCUGUGGCAGCGUGACGGCGCUCCGGAGCUUGGUGGCGAUCUAAUCUCAGCAGGGCUCCGCCCGAGCUCCGCAGAAACGCGAUCUAGAGGAAAAACCGUGGAGGUAUGUGGUCGGGCUGCCGUGGGAAAAGUUGUCCCAAAUCAGCCCUAAAACCCCACUAUAUAUAGGAGGGAGGGAGGGGAGGAGGCAGCCUCAAAACCUAAAGGUUUGGCCGAAAUUGGAGGUGGAGGAGUCCUACUCCAAUCCUACUUGGAGUAGGAUUCCACCUUCCCACUUGGAAACUCUUUCCACCUUGUGUUUUUUUCCUUCUCAAACCUUAUGGGCCUUAGUGGGAACUUAUUCCAGCCCACUAGGGGCUGGUUUAUCUCUUCCCAUAGCCCAUGAGACCCCUUGGGGCGUGACACCCCUCCUGAUGGUCCCUGGCACCCCUCCCGGCACUCCCAGUACACUACCGAUGAGCCCGAAACUUUUCCGGUAAUACACGAAAACCUUCCGGUAACCAAAUGAGGUCAUCCUAUAUAUCAAUCUUCGUUUCCGGACCAUUCCGGAAACCCUCGUGACGUCCGUGAUCUCAUCCGGGACUCCGAACAACAUUCGGUAACCAACCAUAUAACUCAAAUACGCAUAAAACAACGUCGAACCUUAAGUGUGCAGACCAUGCGGGUUCGAGAACUAUGUAGACAUGACCCGAGUGACUCCUCGGUCAAUAUCCAAUAGCGGGACCUGGAUGCCCAUAUUGGAUCCUACAUAUUCUACGAAGAUCUUAUCGUUUGAACCUCAGUGCCAAGGAUUCAUAUAAUCCCGUAUGUCAUUCCCUUUGUCCUUCGGUAUGUUACUUUCCCGAGAUUCGAUCGUCGGUAUCCGCAUACCUAUUUCAAUCUCAUUUACCGGCAAGUCUCUUUACUCGUUCCGUAAUACAAGAUCCCAUGACUUACACUAAGUCACAUUGCUUGCAAGGCUUGUGUGUGAUGUUGUAUUACCGAGUGGGCCCCGAGAUACCUCUCCGUCACACGGAGUGACAAAUUCCAGUCUUGAUCCAUACUAACUCAGCGAACACCUUCGGAGAUACCUGUAGAGCAUCUUUAUAGUCACCCAGUUACGUUGCGACGUUUGAUACACACAAAGCAUUCCUCUGGUGUCACUGAGUUAUAUGAUCUCAUGGUCAUAGGAACAAAUACUUGACACGCAGAAAACAGUAGCAACAAAAUGACACGAUCAACAUGCUACGUCUAUUAGUUUGGGUCUAGUCCGUCACAUGAUUCUCCUAAUGAUGUGAUCCCGUUAUCAAGUGACAACACUUGCCAUCUUUGAUCAACGAGCUAGUCAACUAGAGGCUUACUAGGGACAGUGUUUUGUCUAUUUAUCCACACAUGCACUGUGUUUCCAAUCAAUACAAUUAUAGCAUGGAUAAUAAACGAUUAUCAUGAACAAAGAAAUAUAAUAAUAACUAAUUUAUUAUUGCCUCUAGGGCAUAUUUCCAACAGAAAGCUCGUAGGCAAUGGAUAAGUGAUGGAUAAUUAUGUCGUAUGGCAUUUAUCAUGCAACAAUCAUAACAUAGGGUGAUACAGAACUAGCUCCAAUUCAUCAAUGUAAUGUAGAUAUGUAUUCCAUAUAUAGUCAUACGUGCUUAUGGAAAAGAACUUGCAUGACAUCUUUUGUCCUACCCUCCCGUGGCAGCAGGGUCCUAAUGGAAACUAAGGGAUAUUAAGGCCUCCUUUUAAUAGAGAAUCAGACGAAAGCAUUAGCACUUAGUGAAUACGUGAACUCCUCAAACUACGGUAAUCACCGGAAAGAAUCCCAGUUAUUGUCACCCUCAGGGAUGCAGAUCUUAACUCCUAAUAGGUGUCUACAACUUGCAAGAUAGUAUCAAGAACACAUAUAUAUUUAUGAAAACAUAAUAGGUUCAGAUCUGAAAUCAUGGCACUCGGGCCCAAGUGACAAGCAUUAAGCAUAGCAAAGUCAUAGCAACAUCAAUCUCAGAACAUAAUGGAUACUAGGGAUCAAACCCUAACGAAACUAACUCGAUUACAUGAUAGAUCUCAUCCAACCCAUCACCGUCCAGCAAGCCUACGAUGGAAUUACUCAUGAAUGGCGGAGAGAAUCAUGAAAUUGGUGAUGAAGGAUGGUUGGUGAUGAUGACGAUGUCGAUUUCCCCUCUCCGGAGCCCAAAUCAGACUCCAGAUCUGCCCCCCGAGGAAGAAUAGGAGGUGGAAGCGGCUCCGUAUCGCAAAACGCGAUGAAUUCUUCUCUCUGAUUUUUUCUCCCCAGAUAGGAAUAUAUAGAAGUGCAAACGAGGUCGGUGGAGCCAGAGGGACCCCACAAGCCAUGGGCCCACCCUAGGGGGGCGCCUUGCAGGCUUGUGGCCAGGUGGUGGCCCCUCUCCAGUUGAUUCUUUCGCCAAUAUUUUUUAUUAAUUCCAAAAACGUUCUCCAUAAAUAUUUAGGUCAAUCAGAGAACUUUUAUUCCUGCACAAAAAUAACACCAAGGCAAUUCUGCUGAAAACAACGUGAGUCCGGGUUAGUUCCAUUCAAACCAUGGAAAUUAGAGUCCAAAACAAGGGCAAAAGAGUUUGGAAAAGUAGAUACGUUGGAGACAUAUCAACUCCCCCGACCUCAUUUCCACGAAAAACCCAACGCAUAUAACAAGUAUCACGAAAGAUUUCACGGUCUACCUUAACUUAAACCAUCAUCAUGCGUCUCCACAAGUUUCACAAUGGUGAGGAAGAGGCUUGAAUGUAUCCGAAAUCACCGGUAAAAAUACUUCUCCAGAUAGAUUGCAUUGGGGUUGAAUUAAAAUUUCAUAAUCUUGAUAUGGCUCUCCUCUCUAUCUUGAUUGAUUUACAAACAAUUGAAUUGUGAUCACACUCUCGACCGUCAAAAAUCCUUGUUGAAGAUCAUGGCAACAACUGUUUCCAAAUCAUCUUCUUCGUCUUCUUCCUAUUCUAACUAAAAGUUGUCAAAGAUCAUCUCCCUCAACCUCUUCAUCUAAACUAGAAUUGACUAGGUUCAAUUUAAUUGCCACAAGAAAAACAACAUGAAAAAGCACAAAGAAACUCACCUAGCCAAUCCGUUAAACACUUGAAGGAUGUAGGAGGUGUCAAGGGAUGUAGCCAUCAUUGAGCCGAUGCCCAAGCUAGUGGUCGGCCGAACUUUGAUAUGGCCGACAAUCGACGAAGGGGCUUGGAGGACGAAGAUGUGGUGCAUGCUUUCAGCUAUGGGAUCCACGCGGCAGCACUACGACGGUAUAACAUGAUUCCAGCAACAACAUCAAUCGGCGAGCAUCUUUGAGUGGGGUAGAGGGCGAUAGAGGCAGUAGGGAACUGGUCACCGGAGGCAACAUUGUCAAUGAUGUGGUGCAUGUUGGGAAGGGUGUCAAUGCGUUGUGGGGGGGGGUUGAAAUCAUACUCCAUCAAGUUAGAUUUUUGAUGAUGGACAUCCGAGUAUAUUCGAGAGACGGGGAGGCCAAGGAGUAAAAUUUGAACGAGGAUAUCCAUCAAACAUUAGAUUUUCAUACAUGGCAAAUCAGACAUUUUUCAUGGCAAAUUAUAUUUGGCGGGGAUGGCAAGUUUAGUUCGCGAACAUGGCAAAUCCGCCUCGGUUCAUAUUUUUGUCAUGAAAGUGUCUUGUUUGCAAAUUAAACUUGCGAUCCUCGCGCCAACAUAAAUUGUCAUGAACAACGUUCGAUUUGCCAUGUCUAAAAAUCUAACGUCCGAUUUCUAGUAUUUUCGCAAACUUUUUUACUCCUCUAACACCGAUAAGGGAUCUGCUAGAUGCGAUUUAGCCGCUUAAAACCGAUAUUUUUACUGCUGAAACGCCUUUUAAAGGAUAGGUUAGAUGUACUAUAAUCUAUGGAUCUUGUUCUAGAGAAACAAAUGGAGUACUUUACGGGCUAAGGGCAUUUCUAAUUGAUCCCCUAAAAGGCCAUAAGGGAGUAAAAUUUACGUGGACCUAAUCGAUCCCUUAAAACCAUUAAGGGAGUAAUUUUUUUACACCAACUCCCUAUUCACCCCAAAAUUUCCGUGAAUAUAUUCCAACUUUCGGCGGCCGAGUAAAACUCACUCUCCCUCCCGCGCCGCAUUGACUCCCGCCCCCGGCACCACUGCUCCCUCUGCCGCCACUGAUGACCUCCCAGCUGACCGAAAUGGAUAGCCAACACCCCACGCUUACCCCGCCAGCCAUCGGAAUCCACCCACGCACCGCCCCCAUAGCUAAAAAAAAUUGGGGAUGACAAAGAACCACCGGAUCCAAGCGUCGCCUCCAACCAUGCCAAUGGUGUCCGGUGUGGCCACCGCGUCUUCGGCAACGAACGCCGCCUUCUCGCCGCUCCUACCACAGGCAGACACGUCGCUCGCCGAGGCGGCCGCCAAGAAGAAGUCAAAGAAGACCGCAACGUCGCCUAGUCCAAGGCCUACGCCUCGUGCGACAACUCCGGCUGCCCCUAUGUGACUGGUUCUGCGCGAGCGGCGGCCACAACCGACAACAAAAAACAUGGCUGCCAAGUGCUCGAUGAAAUGCCAACAAGGUAAAAACCUCAUGUCCCAUUGGAAUUCGAUAACGAUAGUUCUUGAUCGAUAGUGCUGGUUUAUAGCGCUUGCUUUGACAUUAUAGAGCGGAGAUGAACACAGUCGAAUUCCUCGCAUCAUUGGAGUCCUCGUCCAUCGUUUGCCUUGAUCAUCUAAACUAUGAUGACUCUUUUUGAGAUCAUUCGACCACCCAAGACACGGAGGAGUCCAAGGAGGAGGUGGUGGAGGAGGUGGUCGAGGUGAUUGAAGCAAGCAUCAAGGCCGCAAGGACCUGCACCCAAAACUACAACCAAAAGGAAGACACUGCGCUCUUAGAUGCUUGGUGUGCCAUCUCCAUGGAUGCAACUGUCGGAAGGAUCAAACCAAGACCAUGUUUCGGGAGAGGAUCACCGACUACGACGACACCUCCGUGGAUGUGCGAUCAAGUCGUACACAAGGUUCGCUUGGGCAUCGUUGGAGCACCAUCGAUGACCAAUGCAGUCGAUGGUCCGGUUGCAUCGACCAAGUGAACUAUGUUCCACCGAGUGGUAUGCAAGUGGCGGAAUAUGACCCCUACAUCUAAGAGCUAUUCAAGCAUCGGAACAUCAAGUUCGUCCACAAGCCCUUCACUUUGCAUCAUUGCUACAAUGAGCUAUGCAAGAAUGAGAAGUGGAUCCAAAGAACUACGGAGACCACUCCGAAGAGCUCAAGGUUGAGCGUAUCCAUUGAGGAGGACGAAGAGGUUGAUGAAGAUGCCAACGAUAGACCGGAAGGAAACAAGAUUGCAAAAAAAAUAAAGAAGAGGAAUGCAUUCGGUGUCACUUAGAAGGAUGAACUUGUGGCAAUGAUCGAGACAAAGAAGGUGUUGGCUACCGAACGCAAAGAAGACAAGAUGGCGAGGUGGAAUGAGAACAAGGCCUUGAAAGAUGAGAAGUGGAAGACCAAGCUGGCGGCCGAAGAGAGAAAGUUGAAGGCCGAAGAGAGUAGUGUUGCACUUGAUGAGGAGAGGAUUCGUAAUGUGAAGAAGGCCGAAGAGCAUGCUAUCAUGUUCAUGAAUCCAGACACAAUGGAUGAAACCGCAAGAAAGUAUUGGAAGCUCACUCAUGAAGAAACCUUGGCC